rnacentral:rRNA from 1 species
GAUGAACGCUAGCGGCAGGCUUAAUACAUGCAAGUCGAGGGGCAGCAUAGUGUAGCAAUACAUGGGUGGCGACCGGCAAACGGGUGCGGGACACGUACAGAACCUUCCUUCGAGCGGGGAAUAGCCCAGAGAAAUUUGGAUUAAUACCCCAUAGUAUAUUGGAGUGGCAUCACUUUGAUAUUAAAGAUUUAUCACUUGAAGAUGGCUGUGCGUCUGAUUAGGUAGUUGGUGAGGUAAUGGCUCACCAAGCCAGCGAUCAGUAACUGGUGUGAGAGCACGACCAGUCACACGGGCACUGAGACACGGGCCCGACUCCUACGGGAGGCAGCAGUAAGGAAUAUUGGUCAAUGGACGCAAGUCUGAACCAGCCAUGCCGCGUGGAGGAUGAAGGUCCUCUGGAUUGUAAACUUCUUUUAUCUGGGACGAAAAAGGGCCUUUCUAGGUCAACUGACGGUACCAGAUGAAUAAGCACCGGCUAACUCCGUGCCAGCCGCCGCUGUAAGAC